CUCUCUCUCUCUCUCUCUCUCUCUCUCUCUCUCUCUCUCUCUCACUCUCCCCUUCUCCCCCUCACUCUCUCUUCCCCUCCUCUCCUCUCCACUCUAUAUUUCCCCCUCUUUCCCUCCCCUUACCUCUUCCUCUUUUCCUCCCACUCUCCCUCUCUUUUGAUCUCCCUCUCCCCCACCUCCUCCUGGACUCCUCUUCUCUCUCCUCUAUCUCUUCUCUCCCUCUCCUAUCUCCCCCUCCCUCUCACCUUCCCCAGUAUCUCCUCCUGUCUCUUUCUCUCUGACAUAGGAGACAGUAGCCAACUUCAACUGAAGAAGAGAGCCCUUGAUCCAGGUCAGCCACAUUGGCCCUUGAUUUCAAACAUUCAUCUGAAGAACUGUAAGAAAUGAACUUGAUUUGUAAAGGCAGAAACUGGGAGGUCUGCCUUUUUCUGAAAAGAAAUGGAGGAACAAUGGAUCUGAGAGAGAAGUGACAUGAAGGGCAGGGACAUUGAACAUGGAUUUAAUGAAGACAUAUUCUUGUCUUUCUGCUGACGAGGGCAACGGU
rnacentral:lncRNA from 1 species